UGAGGCGGGCGGAUCACAAGGUCAGGAUAUCGAGACCACGGUGAAACCCCGUNGCCAGGAUGGUCUCGAUCUCCUGACCUCGUGAUCCGCCCGUCUCG
rnacentral:pre_miRNA from 1 species